ACUCGGCGUAAAGAGUGGUUAAAUUAUCCUUUUUAAUAAAGCCGAAUGCCCCCACUACUGUUAUACGUUUUCGGGGGUAAGAAGCCCUUCUACGAAAGUAGCUUUACCUACAUUGACCCCACGAAAGCCGUGAAACAAACUGGGAUUAGAUACCCCACUAUGCACAGCUGUAAACUUUGGCAGUUUAGUACAUACACUGCCCGCCAGGGAACUACAAGCAUCAGCUUAAAACCCGAAGGACUUGGCGGUGCUUAAGAUCCACCUAGAGGAGCCUGUUCUAGAACCGAUAACCCCCGUUUAACCUCACCCUCUCUUGUUUUUCCCGCCUAUAUACCGCCGUCGUCAGCUUACCCUGUGAAGGCUUAAUAGUAAGCAAAAUGGCCA
rnacentral:rRNA from 1 species